rnacentral:rRNA from 1 species
GCGAGAAUAUUCGACAAUGGGCGAAAGCCUGAUCGAGCGACGCCGCGUGCAGGAUGAAGGCCCUCGGGUUGUAAACUGCGGUAGUAGGGGAGGAACGCAAGUGACUGUACCCUACGGAAAGUGGUUGGUAACUACGUGCCAGCACCAGCGGUAAUACGUAGACCACAAGCGUUAUCCGGAUUUAUUGGGCGUAAAGAGCAUGUAGGAGGUCCGGUGCGUCUCUGGUUAAAGCCCACCGCCUAACGGUGGAAGUGCCAGAGAUACGAUCGGACUGGAGGAUGUGAGAGGUGCAUGGAACUCACGGUGUAGGGGUGAAAUCCGUUGAUAUCGUGGGGAACACCAAAGGCGAAGGCAGUGCACUGGUACAUUCCUGACUCUGAGAUGCGAAAGCGUGGGGAGCAAAAAGGAUUAGAUACCCGCGUAGUCCCUGAGCGGGCUGGCAAGGCGCAU